UUCUUCUGAUAUCCAAUGCUUUUAUCUUACAGCUUUAGGCACUGAUACAUUAAGCCUAAGUAUUAUAAAUACAAUUCUAAUUAUUAAUAGGUAUUUUGCAAUCUAAUAAUUUUCCGAAUGCUUUACGGCAAAAGAUUGCGACCUAAAAGAGUUCCUGUUACCUACCCCGCGAGUACGUUGUAAAGCAUGAGUUCUGCGGUUAGCACCUUCUCUCUCCAAAACAAAGAGAAUAUAAUAACUACGUUUGCUCCAUAAGGCCACCAGUCGCCACUAUUAAAUCCCGCCAGGGAUGCAACUAUGUCAAUGACUUAAUUUUGUUUUCGUAUAAUUUGAAUUUACAAUCAUAUUUAUAAUACUUGGACAGAAUUAUCAGUACUAAAUAUUUAGGGAUGAAAUAAAAUAAAAGCCUUAGUGCAUAGCAUAUA